CUUUAACAUGUUGAUAAAUCACCUGUCUAUUUUCCCUCUUUAAUCGCUUUGUCUCGUCUUACACACUAGAAGAUUGUUGGAGAAAAGGUCACUGUCUGUUACACGACUGUUUACUGCCUAGCAAAACAGGACCCCAGAUAUUACUGAAACAUAACUGAAACGUAAGGAUAAUACUGUCGAACUGAAGGUUCUUGAGCCAAGUAAGUUGCCUCUAGAGACCCUUUUGAAAACUGAGGAUGCUGUGGGUGGAGUUCAUUCAGAGUUCAGCUCUCUCAACCCCUGCAGGCCACUUAAACUCUUCGCAGACUGUUUUCUGACUUCCUGCCAGCUUUCUAGUUACUGCUGCUGAAUACAAAACCCAGAACUGAAUGGCUAUCCUGACUUGCACGAAAGCAUGGCGUUAAAUCACAGCAUGAGGUCAAGACAACUGAGCCUGAAAAUGCAAAAGAAUGAGACAGCAGACUGUUCUGUGUCAUGCAGCUUUGACUUCCUCCGCUUACCAACUGUGGAGCACAAGGUGAUCUCAGGUGUUCGGGGAACUUCCAGAAUUCACUGACACUUGGCAGCAUCCAGCUGUGGCUUCUCAGAAACAGCUGGCCAGAUCUUGCACCGAGUAGGCAAAGACUAGAACAAAGACGACAUAGUGAGGAUGGAGUGAAGCUGAGUAAGCGGAACAGAAAUGAAAAAGCAAGAGAAAGGUCUAUUGUAAAGAAGGGAAGAAUGCAGAC